rfam:Gossypium hirsutum cultivar TM-1 unplaced genomic scaffold scaffold3097.1, whole genome shotgun sequence
AACCCAUGAUGAGGGCACCUUCUCAAUAGAUCUUUAAAUCUCUCUCAUGCACCAUAUAAUGUCUCCAAAUCAAUUUGAGCAAAACAAGAGAUGUCGUUCCUCAACUU